CUUUUCGGACUCAGCCCACUUGCACCCAAGUGAAUAAACAGUGUUAUUGCCCACACAAAGCCUGUCUGUUGGUCUCUUCACAUAGAUGUGCUUGACAUUUGGUGCCAUGACUCAGAUCGGGGGACCUCCCUUGGGAGAUCAAUCCCCUGUCCUCCUGCUACAUUUGGUGCCGUGACUUGGAUCAGGGGACCUCCCUCGGGAGAUCAAUCCCCUGUCUUCCUGCUCUUUGCUCUGUGAGAAAAUCCACCUAUGACGUCAGGUUCUCAGACCAGCCCAAGAAACACCUCACCAAUUUUAAAUUGGAGAUAGCAGAAACGUGUUUUUUCCAUGGAUCCAAAAUGCUGGUGGCACUGGUCAUGGACUCAGGAAGACAGUCUUCCCUUGGUGUCUAAUCACCGCGGGGACACCUGCCUGAUUAUUCACCCGCAUUCCAGAGGUGUUCGAUCACCAUGGGGACACCUGCCUUGAUCCUCCACCUUGGUGAUGAAUGAGAAAGAGUUUUUUCUCUAGCCCAGUCCCACGCUGACACCUGCCGACAUCAUGAGCCGGACCUUCAAGAAGGCAUCAGGGCAGUUCCCCAAGAGGAUCCCCGAUGGGAGUAUCAGGCAGGUUCCCCAGGGACCCACUGGAAAUCAGACUGCCCAGAUCACCCGGCAACCACUCCCAGAACCCCUAAAGCUCUGGCCCAAGGAUCUCUGACUGACUCCUUCCCAGAUCUGCUUGGCUUAGUGACUGAAGACUGACACUGCCCAAUUGCCUUGGAAAACCCCUGGACCGUCACAGAUGCUGAGCUUCGGGUAACUCUCACAGUGGAGGCUUUAUAUUUUAUAAAUAAAAAGACAGGAAUGUCAGGCCUCUGAGCUGAAACUCAGCCAUUAUAACUUCUGUGACCUGCACAUACACAUCCAGGUGGCCUGCAGGAGCCAAGAAGUCUGGAGCAGCCAAAAAAUCACAAAGAUGUAAAACAACCAGUUCCUGCCUUAACUGAUUAACCAAAAUUACAACAUUUUACCAUUGUGACUUGUCCCUGCCCUACCUUAGCUGAUCAAUCAACUUUGCAACAUUCUUCUUUUGGACAAUGAGUCUUAUGAUCUCCCCACCAUGUACCUUGUGACCCCCCCUCUGCUAACAAUAGAUAACCACCUUUUACUGUAAUUUUCCAUUACCUACCCAACUCCUAUAAAGCAAACCCUUCCCCAUCUCCCUUCACUGACUCUCUUUUCAGACUGAGCCCACUUGCACCCAAGUGAAUAAACAGUCUUAUUGCUCACACAAAGCCUGUUUGUUGGUCUCUUCACAUGGACGCGCUUGACAUAGGUUGCUGGGUACAUAGCACUGAGCAACCGGUACUUUAGUUAAAUGUCAGAGUCAGGGUUAAGAUCAAUAAAAGUUACAAUACAGUAACACUUGCCUAGACACAGUGGGAAAUCUUGUUUAUGAUGAUUUCCAGAUGAGAA
rnacentral:lncRNA from 1 species